ACUGCUCCUAGAGGCAUUGCAGGUGUGGCUGCUGUGUCACAUGUGCGUCAGUAGGUGGCAGAGGAGAGAGGCUAUGUCCAUUUCAGUGUUCUGACCUAUGAACAGCUGAAUGAUUAGUAGCCUAACAUU